CUGCUGCCUCCCGUAGGAGUCUGGUCCGUGUCUCAGUACCAGUGUGGGGGACCUUCCUCUCAGGACCCCUACGCAUCGUCGCCACGGUGGGCCGUUACCCCGCCGUCUAGCUAAUGCGCCGCAUGCCCAUCCUCUUCCGAUGAAUCUUUCCUCGAUCUCGGAUGCCCGAAACCGAUAUACGCGGGAUUAGCCUCCCUUUCGGAAGGUUGUCCCCCUGAAGAGGGCAGGUUGCAUACGUGUUACUCACCCGUGCGCCGGUCGCCGG
rnacentral:rRNA from 1 species